rnacentral:lncRNA from 1 species
AAAGUAUUGUCGCCCCGAGAGCCAGGAGCACCCUGAAGCUGACCCAGGUAGUGCUGCCCCUUACCUGAAGACCAAGUUCAUCUGUGUGACACCAUUCAUUGAUGCAGUUUGGAAAUAACGGGGAAGGCGCUGAGCCCUCAGCAGGAGGGCAGUUUGAGUCGCUCACGUUUGACAUGGAUCUGACCUCGGAGUGUGCUACCUCCCCGAUGUGAGGAGCUGAAAGCGGAAACUGCAGAGUAUGACUGAGACACCUGCCCCAUGUUCCACCCCUUAAGCAGCCAAACUCCCAGAUCAUCUGAAACUCCCAACUUUGUGGUUCCAGAUUUUUUCUUUAAUCUCCUACUUCUGCUAUCUUUGGGCAAUCUGGGUACUUUUUAAAAUAGAGAACUGAGUGAGCGUGGGUGAUGCGCUCUUAUGUGAGGAGGAGGGCACCUCUUGAGUCCGUGAUGGCUGUGAAAGCAGAGGGCUGGGGGGGAGCGAAAGGAAACACCUAUGUUCUGUCCGCCUGUCCUCCUGGUUUGUUGUUGGACAAGCGCCUCCUGGUGCCCAUGGCAUCCUGCUGCCCCUUUCUGUGAGCUGAUACCCCAGGCUGGGGACUCCCGGCUCUGCACUUUCAACCUGGUUAAUGUCCACAUAGAAGCUAGGACUAAGCCUAUAGGCUUCUCUUUAAAUU